rnacentral:rRNA from 1 species
CCUACGGGAGGCAGCAGGGAGGAAUAUUGGUCAAUGGGCGAGAGCCGGAACCAGCCAAGGCGCGUGAGGGAGUACUGCCCUAUGGGUUGUAAACCUCUUUUGUCGGGGAGCAAAAGCCGGACGUGUCCGGCUGUGAGAGUACCCGAAGAAAAAGCAUCGGCUAAGUCCGUGCCAGCAGCGGCGGUAAUACGGAGGAUGCGAGCGUUAUCCGGAUUUCUUGGGUUUAAAGGGUGCGCAGGCGGAGUUUUAAGUCAGCGGUCAAAUCGUGGGGCUCAACCCCAUCCAGCCGUUGAAACUGGGGAUCUAGAGUGUGCGAGAGGUAUGCGGAAUGCGUGGUGUAGCGGUGAAAUGCAUAGAUAUCACGCAGAACCCCGAUUGCGAAGGCAGCAUACCGGUGCACAACUGACGCUCAGGCACGAAAGCGUGGGUAUCGAACAGGAUUAGAUACCCCUGUAGUC